CGGGGUGUAGCGCAGUUGGUAGCGCAUCUGGUUUGGGACCAGAGGGUCGCAAGUUCGAGUCUUGUCACCCCGA
rnacentral:tRNA from 1 species